rfam:Puccinia sorghi strain RO10H11247 Scaffold_3442, whole genome shotgun sequence.
GCCUGGCUAGCUCAGUUGGUAGAGCAUUCGACUCUUACGUAGGGUUUGCCACUCGACUCCGGCGAGAGUUCAAGUGAUCGAAUUGUCGUGGGUUCGAGCCCCACGUUGGGCG